CCAAGAGACCACUUUACUUUCUCUUUUAAUCGCCACGGCCAACACCAAUUCGUCUUCACAACAAACUCACACGAACACUUCGUUCGGGAAUCCAAGCCAAACUCCUCGACAGAGUUAUCGGCCAAACCGCUUACCUCGGUUUUCACAGGUGGACCAACAGUCACCAAUUCUACAUAGGCCUAUAGCCUAAACUGUCUCAACACGUAGCGUCUCUCGCUNGGCCCACUACAGAGGAUAUGAGACCAAAUUCACUCACAUUUGCUAAGCACAACCCCAAAAGUGCAUUACGGUUCCGCAAGUCUCGGUGGCAGCGUAAGUGAACACUCGACGACUCUAAACGCUCCAACACCACUUGCUACCGAAUCCAGGGAAUACACUUCGACUCGAUCACCUGCAUUACCUAAAAGCAAUAUUAUUGGUGCAUCGACCAAUCGCGAGUGCUACUAUCACAAUCAGAUCUGUGCUCUACUACAAGAUGGCACACUUCUGCAUAUCUCCAAUGUUAAUCCUCAAGAGAGCACAUUCUCAAAUCUCGCGUGGCAAUUCUCUAUUCAAGUGUCCCCAAGAGACCACUUUACUUUCUCUUUUAAUCGCCACGGCCAACACCAAUUCGUCUUCACAACAAACUCACACGAACACUUCGUUCGGGAAUCCAAGCCAAACUCCUCGACAGAGUUACCGGCCAAACCGAUUACCUCGGUUUCCACAGGUGGACCAACAGUCACCAAUUCUACAUAGGCCUAUAGCCUAAACUGUCUCAACACGUAGCGUCUCUCGCU
rnacentral:lncRNA from 1 species